UACGGGGGGAGCAAGCGUUGUUCGGAUUUACUGGGCGUAAAGGGCUCGUAGGUGGCCAACUAAGUCAGACGUGAAAUCCCUCGGCUUAACCGGGGAACUGCGUCUGAUACUGGAUGGCUCGAGGUUGGGAGAGGGAUGCGGAAUUCCAGGUGUAGCGGUGAAAUGCGUAGAUAUCUGGAGGAACACCGGUGGCGAAGGCGGCAUCCUGGACCAAUUCUGACGCUGAGGAGCGAAAGCCAGGGGAGCAAACGGG
rnacentral:rRNA from 1 species